rnacentral:misc_RNA from 1 species
CCAUCUUACUGACGUUGAUGAUAUAAGUUUGAGUAUGUGGCUCAAGGCCCAAGCGAUUUUAAACUAAUUAAAAAACUCAAAAAAUAACGCGGGGUAUUUUUUCGGCUCAUUUUAUAUUGCUAAACAAUAUUAAAUGAAUUUAAAAAUUUACAAUUUUGAUUCAGUUUUCAAAGACCUAAGUUUGAGCGUAAAUCCCUCAAAACUGAUUAUCGUUUCAACGAAUGUGGAGGUUUCCCAUUUUCCUUAGAAAGGGGGGGAUCCACCCCCCCGUUCUCCUCCGGCUCCCUUGUUCCACCUCCACAAU